rnacentral:tRNA from 1 species
GCGCCCGUAGCUCAAUUGGAUGGAGCGUUUGACUACGGAUCAAGAGGUUAGGGGUUCGACUCCUCUCGGGCGCGCCA